rnacentral:rRNA from 1 species
UAGGGAAUCUUCGGCAAUGGGGGCAACCCUGACCGAGCAACGCCGCGUGAGUGAAGAAGGUUUUCGGAUCGUAAAGCUCUGUUGUAAGAGAAGAACGUGUGUGAGAGUGGAAAGUUCACACAGUGACGGUAACUUACCAGAAAGGGACGGCUAACUACGUGCCAGCAGCCGCGGUAAUACGUAGGUCCCGAGCGUUGUCCGGAUUUAUUGGGCGUAAUGCGAGCGCAGGCGGUUUAAUAAGUCUGAAGUUAAAGGCAGUGGCUUAACCAGUGUUCGCUUUGGAAACUGUUAAACUUGAGUGCAGGAGAGGAAAGUGGAAUUCCAUGUGUAGCGGUGAAAUGCGUAGAUAUAUGGAGGAACACCGGUGGCGAAAGCGGCUUUCUGGUCUGUAACUGACGCUGAGGCUCGAAAGCGUGGGGAGCAAACAGG